GUGCAUUCUGGGGUCAUUUUGGCUAUUAGCUGCUUGCCUGGCAUUUGAGCUUGGUGGGUGGCUGUUAGUUGGGUGAUUUCGGGGAUGUCUACCGUAAAGGUGCAUGAGUGGUGUUUGGUUUGUUACGGGUGGUUGGCUCUUUGCUUGCGCAACAACUUCCACCUGGCAUACCUCUUCAGUCUUGUGUCAAUGCUUGUAUUGCAUUGAAUGCACUGUGGGUUUCUUGUGUUGCGUACCUAAUUGAUGGUAUCGUUUGAAGAAUUAAUGUCCAUUUUCGUCUUGUGUCGCACGUGCGAUGUGAGAUGAACCUUGAAGCAGCCUUUGUGUUCCGCUCUUUCGAUGCACACACAUUGAUUUUGUGGCCCAUUGAGCGUUGCUUGGUCUCAUGGAUAUGGAACCUGGUGUGGGCAUGGGAUCUUUUACUAGUUCCUUGUUUGCCCUAUUUUAGUUUUUCUAAAACGAUUGUCUAUCAUGUUUUAAUGUGGUAGGCUAUAUCGAAUAUGAAUGCUACCUGGUUGAUCCUGCCAGUAGUCAUAUGCUUGUCUCAAAGAUUAAGCCAU
rnacentral:misc_RNA from 1 species